AUGCUCUUGCUAACCUCAGAUUCCCUCUCAGUAUUGGAAUGUAUUGUAAUAGUUUUUGCGGCCUGUUGUAGCGCGGCAGGUUGUUUUGUUCCGGCGUUGCGGAGAGAGGUGCUUGUGUGAUCCUCCACCAGUGAGAGUAUAGCGCCUCCGGUCCUGGGUGAACGGAGGACGUACCAGUGGCCCUGGGACCUUAGGUGGUGGGUCGUUUUCACACUUUCUUUUGUACAGCACCGGGUGGGCUGCAGUGAUUUUCGUUUUGUGUGAUUUUCUUUUGGGUCCACGGCUGCUGGUAAGUCCAAGUUCCAUGUUUGUUUUAUUUUCACUUUAAGACACUGUCAACAAUGACGCUACAUUUUGGUUUCUAAUAUUUUAUUUAUUUUUAUUAUAAAUAAACUGUUUUAAUAUUGGAGCCAA